GUGCUUACUUAGGCAGCACAUACACUAAAAUUAGAACAAUAUAGAGAACAUUAACAGGGCUCCUGCACAAGGAUGACACAAAAAUUCAUAAAGUGUUACAUAUUCUU
ensembl:snRNA U6 U6 spliceosomal RNA